AUUUCUAAUUUAUAUAGUUUAAAAAAAACAUUACAUUUUCAUUGUAAAAUUAAAUAUUUUUAUUUUAUAA
rnacentral:tRNA from 1 species